GGACCCGCACAAGCAGCGGAGCAUGUGGUUUAAUUCGAAGCAACGCGAAAAACCUUACCAAGACUUGACAUCGUAUGACCGCUAUAGAAAUAUGGUUUCCCUUCGGGGCAUAUAGACAGGUGGUGCAUGGUUGUCGUCAGCUCGUGUCGUGAGAUGUUGGGUUAAGUCCCGCAACGAGCGCAACCCUUAUGAAUAGUUGCCAAUAUUAAGUUAGGAACUCUAUUCAGACUGCCGUGGAUAACACGGAGGAAGGUGGGGAUGACGUCAAAUCAUCAUGCCCCUUACGUCUUGGGCUACACACGUGCUACAAUGGCUAUUACAAAGAGCAGCGACGUCGUAAGGCAGAGCGAAUCUCAUAAAAAUAGUCUCAGUUCGGACUGUGGGCUGCAACCCGCCCACACGAAGUCGGAGUUGCUAGUAAUCCCGAAUCAGCAUGUCGGGGUGAAUGCGUUCCCGGGUCUU
rnacentral:rRNA from 1 species